rnacentral:sRNA from 1 species
GCAUCUGCAAAUUCAGGUGCCGGGUUUCGCAGCCCGCCGAGAUUGUCGCGACAAAAUGACACGCCGCAAGCGUGUUUUUU